UACCGGAGGGGCAAGCGUUAUUCGGAAUGAUUGGGCGUAAAGGGUCCGUAGGCGGUUUUUUAAGUCGUUUCUAUAAUUUUAGGGCACAACCUUAAACUUGAUUCGAAACUGAAAAACUAGAAUUUGACAGAGGAUAGUGGAAUUCCUAGUGGAAGGAUAAAAUCUCUAGAGAUUAGGAGGAACAUCAGAGGCGAAGGCGACUAUCUGGGUCAAUAUUGACGCUAAAGGACGAAAGUAUGGGUAUCGAAUGGG
rnacentral:rRNA from 1 species